CGUGUGGGCAACCUGCCCUGUACUGGGGAAUAAUCAUUGGAAACGAUGACUAAUACCGCAUGUGGUCCUCGGAAGGCAUCUUCUGAGGAAGAAAGGAUUUAUUCGGUACAGGAUGGGCCCGCAUCUGAUUAGCUAGUUGGUGAGAUAACAGCCCACCAAGGCGACGAUCAGUAGCCGACCUGAGAGGGUGAUCGGCCACAUUGGGACUGAGACACGGCCCAA
rnacentral:rRNA from 1 species